GAUGAACGCUGGCGGCGUGCCUAAUACAUGCAAGUCGAGCGAACAGACGAGGAGCUUGCUCCUCUGACGUUAGCGGCGGACGGGUGAGUAACACGUGGAUAACCUACCUAUAAGACUGGGAUAACUUCGGGAAACCGGAGCUAAUACCGGAUAAUAUAUUGAACCGCACGGUUCAAUAGUGAAAGACGGUUUUGCUGUCACUUAUAGAUGGAUCCGCGCCGCAUUAGCUAGUUGGUAAGGUAACGGCUUACCAAGGCAACGAUGCGUAGCCGACGUGAGAGGGUGAUAGGCCACACUGGAACUGAGCCACGGUCCAGGCUCCUACGGGAGGCAGCAGUAGGGAAUCUUCCGCAAUGGGCGAAAGCCUGACGGAGCAACGCCGCGUGAGUGAUGAAGGUCUUCGGAUCGUAAAACUCUGUUAUUAGGGAAGAACAAAUGUGUAAGUAACUAUGCACGUCUUGACGGUACCUAAUCAGAAAGCAACGGCUAACUACGUG
rnacentral:rRNA from 1 species